rnacentral:rRNA from 1 species
AGCGAACGCUGGCGGCAGGCUUAACACAUGCAAGUCGAGCGGGCACUUUCGGGUGUCAGCGGCGGACGGGUGAGUAACGCGUGGGAACGUGCCCUCUGGUUCGGAAUAACUCAGGGAAACUUGAGCUAAUACCGGAUACGCCCUUUUGGGGAAAGGCUUGCUGCCGGAGGAUCGGCCCGCGUCUGAUUAGCUAGUUGGUGAGGUAACGGCUCACCCAGGCGACGAUCAGUAGCUGGUCUGAGAGGAUGAUCAGCCACACUGGGACUGAGACACGGCCCAGACUCCUACGGGAAGCAGCAGUGGGGAAUAUUGGACAAUGGGCGCAAGCCUGAUCCAGCCAUGCCGCGUGAGUGAUGAAGGCCUUAGGGUUGUAAAGCUCUUUUAUCCGGGACGAUAAUGACGGUACCGGAGGAAUAAGCCCCGGCUAACUUCGUG